rnacentral:lncRNA from 1 species
GGGUUUGCAGAUUCUCGUCUUCGAUUGGCUGUGUGGGACGCAUCCGGAUGUAUUGACCAGAGCCCUUGGAGUCGGAUCACGCCGGCGCAGUCGGCGGCUGCUAGGAGAUCGGUGCUUCAGGUUGAAUCCUCUUGGCCGCAGCCCAUGGGAGCGCAGCUGAGCGGCGCGAGUGAUGGCGAUAGCCCAGGCCCGGCUGACCAGGCCGCGGAGCAGCCCCAGCCCGCCGCCCCUGGAGCUGGCGAGGGAGCCCCCAGACCCCGCCCUGACCCGGAGGUGUGGGGUCCCUUGGACGAUGUGCGCUUCGUCAUCGUCUGCACGUCCUGCUAUACCCCAGUAUCUUUGGGGCUCAGGAGGAUCCCAGAGGGGACCACACAGGAUUAAGGGUUUUCAGGAGGUCAGAGCAGAGGCCCAGGAUCCCAUACCAGUCCAGGCUUCAGAGAGGAAGAGAGAAGAUGAGCCACAGGAACCAAGAUGAGAUGAAUAGAGGAGAGGCUGAGCUGGACUCAAGGCCCUCACCAGGUAUGGGCCAUGAGUGAUAUCAGGAGGGAGUAGUGACAAGAGGACCCAGGCAAGGAAAAGUUGUGAGGAAUGGGGCACAGUGGUGCGGCUUCAUUCUCCACAUCGCUAUUGGUCAGAAGUGGUGGAAGGUAGCCAAGGCCCCCCUCUGAGCCAGGCCUUGCCCAGCAGUCAUCAAGAUUUGGGGCACAGUGGCAGAAAGAGCACUCAAUUAUAGUCCACCAUUAACUUGUGUGACCUUGCCAAGUCACAUCCUCUUUCUGGACCUCUAUCUCCUCUGUCAAAAGAGGGAAAUGCUAUUUGCCCAGCCAAUUUAACAGGGCCCUUGUGAGUUUCAAAUAGGCUAAUAGAUGUCACCUAAUAAAGUGCCUUGAAAAGCAUAAAAUACUGUAUCG